AUUGAACGCUGGCGGCAGGCCUAACACAUGCAAGUCGAACGGUAACAGGAAGCAGCUUGCUGCUUUGCUGACGAGUGGCGGACGGGUGAGCAAUGUCUGGGAAACUGCCCGAUGGAGGGGGAUAACUACUGGAAACGGUAGCUAAUACCGCAUAACGUCGCAAGACCAAAGAGGGGGACCUUAGGGCCUCUUGCCAUCGGAUGUGCCCAGAUGGGAUUAGCUAGUAGGUGGGGUAACGGCUCACCUAGGCGACGAUCCCUAGCUGGUCUGAGAGGAUGACCAGCCACACUGGAACUGAGACACGGUCCAGACUCCUACGGGAGGCAGCAGUGGGGAAUAUUGCACAAUGGGCGCAAGCCUGAUGCAGCCAUGCCGCGUGUAUGAAGAAGGCCUUCGGGUUGUAAAGUACUUUCAGCGGGGAGGAAGGGAGUAAAGUUAAUACCUUUGCUCAUUGACGUUACCCGCAGAAGAAGCACCGGCUAACUCCGUG
rnacentral:rRNA from 1 species